GUAGGGAAUCUUCCACAAUGGACGAAAGUCUGAUGGAGCAACGCCGCGUGAGUGAAGAAGGAUUUCGGUUCGUAAAACUCUGUUGCAAGGGAAGAACAAGUAGCGUAGUAACUGGCGCUACCUUGACGGUACCUUGUUAGAAAGCCACGGCUAACUACGUGCCAGCAGCCGCGGUAAUACGUAGGUGGCAAGCGUUGUCCGGAAUUAUUGGGCGUAAAGCGCGCGCAGGUGGUUCCUUAAGUCUGAUGUGAAAGCCCCCGGCUCAACCGGGGAGGGUCAUUGGAAACUGGGGAACUUGAGUGCAGAAGAGGAUAGUGGAAUUCCAAGUGUAGCGGUGAAAUGCGUAGAGAUUUGGAGGAACACCAGUGGCGAAGGCGACUGUCUGGUCUGUAACUGACACUGAGGCGCGAAAGCGUGGGGAGCAAACAGGAUUAGAUACCCCUGUAGUCC
rnacentral:rRNA from 1 species